AUUGCAGUAAAAGAAAGAUUCUAGAGAUUUUAAUUCCAUAUGAAGCCCUGGAAUCCUGGAAUCCUGUCAGCAUGGUGGUAAGAGUGUUUGACUCCUUGAUAAAGCACAGCACAGGAAGUUACAAAAGGACCUUUCUAAAUUAGUCUUUAAAGGGCUGGCCAAGGUGACCUGCGUUUUUGGCCAUGGCAGUCGAAAGGACUGAGGUAUCCUGGCAGAAGAAGUACCCAGAUGGAUUAAAUCAUGGAUCCUUCAAGUAGGAACACAAAAUUUGAAAGCACAGCAUUUUUGGUGUGGCCGUGGAUUCCAAAGCCUCCAUGUCUUCUUCUGCAAUCUUUGCAGCUAACAGCUCCUUCAUUCAGAUCCUCAUUCAGAAUCCUCAU